rnacentral:rRNA from 1 species
UACGUAGGUGGCGAGCGUUGUCCGGAUUUACUGGGCGUAAAGAGCGCGCAGGCGGCUGGUCAAGUCCGAUGUGAAAGCUCCCGGCUUAACUGGGAAAUUGCAUCGGAAACUGAUCGGCUGGAAGGUGGGAGAGGGUAGCGGAAUUCCUGGUGUAGCGGUGAAAUGCGUAGAUAUCUGGAGGAACACCGGUGGCGAAGGCGACGUCCUGGACCGGUAUUGACGCUGAGGCGCGAAAGCCAGGGGAGCAAACGGG